AGGAUUAUAGUUAAAAAAUAACGUUUAAGUUGCAUUUAAAAAUUAUUGAAUAUCAAUUUAUCUUA
rnacentral:tRNA from 1 species